GCGGUGUUCAGAGCUCACAGACACUCACAAACCAAAGGGACCAGCUUAGACACAGACUUAGCUAGAAGAGUACUUACUACUCUCUUCUUUUCCCCUUUCUACAUGCACUGGCUAUGUUGCUGGUAGCCAACAUCUGCCCUACAAAUGGACAACAGUGUCUCAGUGCAGCUUUCCUAUGUACUAUUUACUUACUCAUUCUUCCCUUGCUGCUAGGGAGUGGGAACACAUAUCCCAGGGGUCGGAGCCUGAGGCAAGUAGGAAAUAAGACUGUCCCUGUAGUCUUGAAAAGAGAAUGUUAGGGUAGAACCCCUCUGUCCUACUGUCGCCUUGCACUAGGCAACAACUGUGAUGUCUGGUUUCAGUCAAGAAUGAUUAAUGAACGAUGUGUGUUUGUCCCUAGCAGAUGCUUGUAGGGAAGGAGGAUUUGACCCUCACUGAGUGAAGGAGUUGCUGAUUUAGUCAAGUCAAGAACAGGAUGCGACGCUUUGGUCUAGUGCAUUGACAUUUGCAUCUCUGAGUGAGAAUGCUUAUUUUCAUUGGAGGAACAGCAAGACUGCCUUUUGAAACAUUUAAAGGUAAUCAAGCUUUUGGAGAGGAAGUGAAUGU
rnacentral:lncRNA from 1 species